rnacentral:tRNA from 2 species
GCGCCGCUAGCUCAACUGGCAGAGCAACUGACUCUUAAUCAGUAGGUUCGGGGUUCGAGUCCCUGGCGGCGCA